rnacentral:rRNA from 1 species
UACGUAGGGAGCAAGCGUUGUCCGGAAUCAUUGGGCGUAAAGCGCGCGUAGGUGGCUCUAUAAGUCCGUUGUGAAAGUCAAAGGCUCAACCUUUGAAAGCCGAUGGAUACUGUAGAGCUAGAGUCCGGAAGAGGCGAGUGGAAUUCCUGGUGUAGCGGUGAAAUGCGCAGAUAUCAGGAAGAACACCGAUGGCGAAGGCAGCUCUCUGGGACGGUACUGACGCUGAGACGCGAAAGCGUGGGGAGCGAACAGG